rnacentral:rRNA from 1 species
GAUGAACGCUGGCGGCGUGCCUAAUACAUGCGAGUCGAGCGAACAGAUGAGGAGCUUGCUCCUCUGACGUUAGCGGCGGACGGGUGAGUAACACGUGGAUAACCUACCUAUAAGACUGGGAUAACUUCGGGAAACCGGAGCUAAUACCGGAUAAUAUAUUGAACCGCAUGGUUCAAUAGUGAAAGACGGUUUUGCUGUCACUUAUAGAUGGAUCCGCGCCGCAUUAGCUAGUUGGUAAGGUAACGGCUUACCAAGGCAACGAUGCGUAGCCGACCUGAGAGGGUGAUCGGCCACACUGGAACUGAGACACGGUCCAGACUCCUACGGGAGGCAGCAGUAGGGAAUCUUCCGCAAUGGGCGAAAGCCUGACGGAGCAACGCCGCGUGAGUGAUGAAGGUCUUCGGAUCGUAAAACUCUGUUAUUAGGGAAGAACAGAUGUGUAAGUAACUAUGCACGUCUUGACGGUACCUAAUCAGAAAGCCACGGCUAACUACGUG